UUUAUUUUUAGCUCACCUGGCCCGAAGGGCCAAGUGAGCUAUUCCCAUCACUUUGCGUCCGGCGUCCGUCGUCGUCGUCCGUCGUCCGUCGUCGUCCGUCGUCGUUAACUUUUACAAAAAUCUUCUCCUCUGAAACUACUGGGCCAAAUCAAACCAAACUUGGCCACAAUCAUCAUUGGGGUAUCUAGUUUAAAAAAUGUGUGGCGUGACCCGGUCAACCAACCAAGAUGGCCGCCACGGCUAAAAAUAGAACAUAGGGAUAAAAUGCAGUUUUUGGCUUAUAACUCAAAAACCAAAGCAUUUAGAGCAAAUCUGACAUGGGGUAAAAAUGUUUAUCAGGUCAAGAUCUAUCUGCCCUGAAAUUUUCAGAUGAAUCGGUCAAUCGGUUGUUGGGUUGCUGCCCCUGAAUUGGUAAUUUUGAGGAAAUUUUGCUGUUUUUGGUUAUUAUCUUGAAUAUUAUUAUAGAUAGAGAUAAAUUGUAAACAGCAAUAAUGUUCAGCAAAGUAAGAUCUACAAAUAAGUCAACAUGACCAAAAUGGUCAGUUGACCCGUUUAGGAGUUAUUGCCCUUUAUAGUCAAUUUUUAAACCAUUUUUCGUUAAUUAAAGUAAUCUUUUACAAAAAUCUUCUCCUCUGAAACUACUUGGCCAAAUUAAUCCAAACUUGGCCACAAUCAUCUUUGGGGUAUCUAGUUUAAAAAAUGUGUGGCGUGACCUGGUCAACCAACCAAGAUGGCCG
rnacentral:lncRNA from 1 species